rnacentral:rRNA from 1 species
UGUUUUGAUUUGGGUUUGGGUGUGGUCCUUGAUUGUGUACUGCAGCCAGCCUGGAUUCUUUUUUGGAGUGAGGGUGGGCAACCACCCUGAUCCCGGAAUGUUACCUUGAGCAAAAUAGAGUGUUCAAAGCAGGCUUGGUAGCCGUGAAUAUACUAGCAUGGAAUAACGGCAUAGGACUCUGGACUAUCCCGUUGGUCUGUAGGACCGGAGUAAUGACUGAGAGGGACGGUCGGGGGCAUUCCUAGUUCAUUGUCAGAGGUGAAAUUCUAGGAUUUAUGAAAGAGGAACUACUGCGAAAGCAUUUGCCAAGGACGCUUUCAUUAAUCAAGAACGAAAGUUGGGGGAUUGAAGACGAUUAGAUACCGUUUUAAUCCCAACCAUAAACGAUGCCGACUAGGGAUGGGCGGGUGUUUUUUCUAGACCCCGCCCGCACCUUGUGAGAAAUCAAAGUGUUUGGGUUCCGGGGGGAGUAUGGUCGCAAGGCUCAAACUUAAAGG